GGGUGGGGCGGGGGCCGCAGCGCCUACAUUAGCCGGACCGCGUCGGAUCCAGACAGCAGUGUGGUCGGAGCCGCCUCCCGCCCCGCGCCGGGCGGGCGCAGCACUUGGAGCGAGCCCCGCGCCCGCCCCCGCGCAGUCCGGCGCUGCGCCGCGGUUCGCACACACGCGUCGGAGGUCCUCCGUCCGCGAGAAGCCCCGGCGCCGCGGGCCCCUGGCUGGCCCCGCUCGCCCUCCUCGUUCCGGGGUCCGUUGGCUUGUCGGAGGCGGAGAGGGGGAGGCGGAGGAGGAGAGGAGGCGGGAGCCGCGGCUGCCGGAUCCGAGAGAAAGUGGCAUGCCCGAGCCCUGGAGGCGGAGGUGGCGGAGGACGGGGGAAGACGAUGCCGCGGCUCCGUAGGAGACGUAGGCGAGAGCGAGCGAGGCGAGCGGGGCGCCCGGGCGCCAGCAGAAGGGGGGGAGGCGCGCGCCGCUCCGAGGCUCCGGCCUCCGACUCGCCCUGCGCCCCGACGCUGCGGGCGACAGGGCUCGGCUCCAGCAGCAGCCGCCGCCGUCGUCGCCGCCGCCGCCGCCACCCGGACAACCCGGCAAAAGUUUGGAUCUGGGGGAGGGAGCGGCGCUGAGCGGGAUUACCACCACCAGGGCUGGAAAGAGACCUCGGGAACCUUCACAGGUCUGACCCAAAAGGAAGAGGCAGGCGAAGUUCAAGAUCCCGGGGAUGGGCACCGAGCGCUCGCAGAGCCACAGCUACGUUAAAAGAGCCCGCGGUGCGCCUCUGCCCGAGGUGGGCAGCCGUGCGGGCCGGCGAAUCCCUCCAGGAGCGGGUGAGAACCCUUAGCCCCAGGUGGUGCCUCGUCCCGCAGCUCUUCCAAAAUCUGGAAUUGGGAAUUCAAGGCCCUUUAGUGUUAUUCGUCCAGGGAGUUGAUUGAUGGGCUUCUCUCAGCCCCCCACCCCCAACUCUCUCCUUCUCUCGCCGCUGUUUAGCAUCUUGAAAAAUUUGAUUCGAACCCAUACUCAUUCCCCCGCUGCGACACGGGACCCAGGACUGCAAAUUUGGGGGUGGAGAGUUGGGGGUUGAACAUUGCAAGCUAAGGGAAAAAUAACCUUCUCCCCUUUGGGCAUCCCUAGAGUCCUCCCUCCGUUCGCAUUCCGGCGUCAGAAAUACGAACUUUUUAAUUGAGAGGGGAGAUGAGUCGUGCUAGUCGUGGGUGAUGCGAAUUCGCAGUUACUGUGUGUGUGUGUGUGUGUGUGUGUGUGUGUGUCGGGGGAAGGGGGUGCGUGGCGCUGCAGAGAGGCCGGCUUUCCUCGGUGGCCCUGAUGCACCCUGGUGCCGGGGGCGGGGCAGUGAGAGGCCCCGGGUGCGCGCCCAGGCGGGGGUCCACAGAGAGGGACAGUCCGCUUCUCUCCAACAGCAGCCUUAUCUAAGCUGAGAAAAUCUGCUGCUCACUCCCAUGGCAGAAAGAUUACAGCCCCCAAACCCCAGCACCUCCUUCCCCACCCCCACCCCCGCGUGGAGUUUUGCCGCUGCUAUCAUCUUUAUGAUGAUGGUCAUUAUUUAUUCACCUGGAAACUCAUCGCGCCCUCUCUUAUGAAUGGAAAACAGACCCCGAGAGCUUUUGAUUAAUUUUAAUGGAGGGAAUCUCUUGUAGAGCUUACAGUAAGCUAAUCAAGGAAGUGCAAGGCACAAAUCCGUGUAAAUGCUCGCGCAGGAGUGCAAGGUGCUGAUUAGAUUUCUUUACAUGCUGCAUUUGCUAUG
rnacentral:lncRNA from 1 species